GCCGGGUGUGGUGGCGCAUGCCUGUAAUCCCAGCUACUCGGGAGGCUGAGGCAGGAGAAUCGCUUGAACCUGGGAGGCAGAGGUUGCAGUGAGCUGAGAUCAUGCCACUGCACUCCAGCCUGGGUGACAGAGUGAGACUCCGUCUCAA
rnacentral:SRP_RNA from 2 species